UCCUACGGGGGGCAGCAGUGAGGAAUAUUGGUCAAUGGGCUUACGCCUGAACCAGCCAAGUCGCGUGAGGGAAGACUGCCCUAUGGGUUGUAAACCUCUUUUGUCAGGGAGCAACGCCGGCUACGUGUAGCCGGACUGAGAGUACCUGAAGAAAAAGCAUCGGCUAACUCCGUGCCAGCAGCCGCGGUAAUACGGAGGAUGCGAGCGUUAUCCGGAUUUAUUGGGUUUAAAGGGUGCGUAGGCGGAAUGCCAAGUCAGCGGUAAAAUCGCGGGGCUCAACGUCGCUCCGCCGUUGAAACUGGCGG
rnacentral:rRNA from 1 species